ensembl:snRNA U6 U6 spliceosomal RNA
GGGCUCUCUUCGGCAGCCCAUAUGCGAAAAUUGGAACAAUACAGAGCAGAUUAGUGUGACCCCUGCACAAGGAUGACACGCAAGUUCACAAAGAGUUCCAUAGUUUU